GUACACUCCUGCGGGAGGCAGCAGUGGGGAAUUUUGGACAAUGGGCGAAAGCCUGAUCCAGCAAUGCCGCGUGAGUGAAGAAGGCCUUCGGGUUGUAAAGCUCUUUUGUCAGGGAAGAAACGGUGAGAGCUAAUAUCUUUUGCUAAUGACGGUACCUGAAGAAUAAGCACCGGCUAACUACGUGCCAGCAGCCGCGGUAAUACGUAGGGUGCAAGCGUUAAUCGGAAUUACUGGGCGUAAAGCGUGCGCAGGCGGUUUUGUAAGUCUGAUGUGAAAUCCCCGGGCUCAACCUGGGAAUUGCAUUGGAGACUGCAAGGCUAGAAUCUGGCAGAGGGGGGUAGAAUUCCACGUGUAGCAGUGAAAUGCGUAGAUAUGUGGAGGAACACCGAUGGCGAAGGCAGCCCCCUGGGUCAAGAUUGACGCUCAUGCACGAAAGCGUGGGGAGCAAACAGGAUUAGAUACCCCAGUAGUCCCAUGAU
rnacentral:rRNA from 1 species